rnacentral:rRNA from 1 species
AGAGUUUGAUUCUGGCUCAGAACGAACGCUGGCGGCGUGGAUAAGACAUGCAAGUCGAACGAGAGAAUUGCUAGCUUGCUAAUAAUUCUCUAGUGGCGCACGGGUGAGUAACACGUGAGUAACCUGCCCCCGAGAGCGGGAUAGCCCUGGGAAACUGGGAUUAAUACCGCAUAGUAUCGAAAGAUUAAAGCAGCAAUGCGCUUGGGGAUGGGCUCGCGGCCUAUUAGUUAGUUGGUGAGGUAACGGCUCACCAAGGCGAUGACGGGUAGCCGGUCUGAGAGGAUGUCCGGCCACACUGGAACUGAGACACGGUCCAGACACCUACGGGUGGCAGCAGUCGAGAAUCAUUCACAAUGGGGGAAACCCUGAUGGUGCGACGCCGCGUGGGGGAAUGAAGGUCUUCGGAUUGUAAACCCCUGUCAUGUGGGAGCAAAUUAAAAAGAUAGUACCACAAGAGGAAGAGACGGCUAACUCUGUGCCAGCAGCCGCGGUAAUACAGAGGUCUCAAGCGUUGUUCGGAAUCACUGGGCGUAAAAGCGUGCGUAGGCUGUUUCGUAAGUCGUGUGUGAAAGGCGCGGGCUCAACCCGCGGACGGCACAUGAUACUGCGAGACUAGAGUAAUGGAGGGGGAACCGGAAUUCUCGGUGUAGCAGUGAAAUGCGUAGAUAUCGAGAGGAACACUCGUGGCGAAGGCGGGUUCCUGGACAUUAACUGACGCUGAGGCACGAAGGCCAGGGGAGCGAAAGGGAUUAGAUACCCCUGUAGUCCUGGCAGUAAACGGUGCACGCUUGGUGUGCGGGGAAUCGACCCCCUGCGUGCCGGAGCUAACGCGUUAAGCGUGCCGCCUGGGGAGUACGGUCGCAAGAUUAAAACUCAAAGAAAUUGACGGGGACCCGCACAAGCGGUGGAGUAUGUGGCUUAAUUCGAUGCAACGCGAAGAACCUUACCUGGGCUUGACAUGUAAUGAACAACAUGUGAAAGCAUGCGACUCUUCGGAGGCGUUACACAGGUGCUGCAUGGCCGUCGUCAGCUCGUGUCGUGAGAUGUUUGGUUAAGUCCAGCAACGAGCGCAACCCCUGUUGCCAGUUACCAGCACGUGAAGGUGGGGACUCUGGCGAGACUGCCCAGAUCAACUGGGAGGAAGGUGGGGACGACGUCAGGUCAGUAUGGCCCUUAUGCCCAGGGCUGCACACGUACUACAAUGCCCAGUACAGAGGGGGCCGAAGCCGCGAGGCGGAGGAAAUCCUAAAAACUGGGCCCAGUUCGGACUGUAGGCUGCAACCCGCCUACACGAAGCCGGAAUCGCUAGUAAUGGCGCAUCAGCUACGGCGCCGUGAAUACGUUCCCGGGUCUUGUACACACCGCCCGUCACAUCAUGGAAGCCGGUCGCACCCGAAGUAUCUGAAGCCAACCGCAAGGAGGCAGGGUCCUAAGGUGAGACUGGUAACUGGGAUGAAGUCGUAACAAGGUA